UGGGCAACCUGCCCCUCUCUCUGGGAUAACCCCGGGAAACCGGAGCUAAUACCGGAUACUCCGGCUGGAUCGCAUGGUCCGGCCGGGAAAGGUCCGCCGGAGAGGGAUGGGCCCGCGGCCUAUCAGCUUGUUGGUGGGGUCAUGGCUCACCAAGGCGACGACGGGUAGCCGGCCUGAGAGGGCGACCCGG
rnacentral:rRNA from 1 species